AACGAACGCUGGCGGCAUGCUUAACACAUGCAAGUCGAACGAGACCUUCGGGUCUAGUGGCGCACGGGUGCGUAACGCGUGGGAAUCUGCCCUUUGCUACGGAAUAACUCAGAGAAAUUUGUGCUAAUACCGUAUAAUGUCUACGGACCAAAGAUUUAUCGGCAAAGGAUGAGCCCGCGUAAGAUUAGCUUGUUGGUGGGGUAAAGGCCUACCAAGGCGACGAUCUUUAGCUGGUCUGAGAGGAUGAUCAGCCACACUGGGACUGAGACACGGCUCAGGCUCCUACGGGGAGCAGCAGUGGGGAAUAUUGGACCAUGGGCGAAAGCCUGAUCCAGCAAUGCCGCGUGAGUGAUGAAGGGCUUAGGGUUGUAAAGCUCUUUUACCAGGGAUGAUAAUGACAGGACCUGGAGAAUAAGCUCCGGCUAGCUUCGUGCCAGCCGCCGCGGUAG
rnacentral:rRNA from 1 species